GCCCAAUAUGGACAUUUUAACAAUGCUAAUUCUUCCAGUCCAUAAACAUGAAUUCCUUUCCAUUUGUUUGUGUCUUCUUCAACUUCUUUCAACGUCUUACAGUGUUCAGCAUACAGGUCUUUCACCUCCUAGGUUAAGUUUAUUCCUAGCUAUUUUAUUCUUUUUGUUGCAAUUGUAAAUGAAAUUGUUUUCUCAAUUUCUGUUUCUACUAGCUCACUGUCAAUGUAUAGAGACACAACAGAUCUCUGUGCCCUGUCACUUUACUGUAUUUGUUUUCUUUUAAUAUUCAUUUAUUUAUUGGGCUGUGUCGGGUCUUAGUUGCAGCACGGGGGAUCUUUGUUGUGGCAUGCAGGAUCUUUUGUUGCGGCACAUGGGCUUCCCUCUAGUUGUGGCGCGUGGGCUCUAGAGUGCGCAGGCUUAGUUGCCCUGCAGCAUGUGGGAUCUUAGUUCCCCAACCAGGGAUUGAACCUGCGUCCCCUGCAUUAGAAGGAGGAUUCUUAACCACUGGACCACCAGGGAAGUCCCUGUAUUUGUUUAUUAUUUGUUUUAUCUGGAUUUACUAAUUUUUCUAUACCAAAAAUUACAUAAUUGUGUAAUAAAAUAUCCUGCAAAGGGAAGUUAAAUAAAAUAAAUAGAGAAAAAAAGGAAGGAAGGAGAGAAGGAUGAUAAGAGGAAAAAAGGAGAAAGGGAGGGAGGAUGGAAAGGAAACUAUUUUUAUCCAUUAUACAACUGAUAGGCCUUUCAGUUCUGGGCAAUUUUCUUGAAUUAUUUCUUUGCUAGUUCUUUGAUUUAUUUGCUAAUUCUUUGACAGAUAGUUUGAUAGUUCCCUCAGCUUUCUCUUUCUGGAACUCUUAUUAUUUGGAUAUCAGACCACCUAAGCCAGACUAUAUCUUUUGUCUUCUAUUUUCCAUCUUUGCCUUUUUUGCUCCACUUUGUAGAAGAUUGCCUCAAUUUUGUCUUCCAGCUACUCUAUGGAGUAUUUCAUUUCUGCUAUCACAUUUUUAAUUCCCAACGCUUCUGUUUGUUCUUUAAAUGUUCUUUUUCCCCAAUAUUUUGCUGUGAGAAGUUUCCAAACAUAUAGAAAAGUUGAAAGAAUUUUAUGAUAAACAUAACCAUCACUUGGAUUCAAUGUUCUUUUUCUAGCUUGUUUCAUGGUUGUAAUAUCUCUCUUAAUUCAUAGAGAAUGUUAGUAUUUUAGGAUUUGGGGGAUAUUUUUCUUCUCCCUGCAUGGUUUUUGCUCCUCUGACUUACUUGUUUCCAGGCUAUUUGAACUCUAUUUUUCAUGUUAGAGACUUUCCUCAAAUGUCUGAUGAUCUAGGGUCAUCUGUUCUACUUUAAGAGUGGGCCCCCCGAUGAGAUACAAUAGGAAGUACAUCCCCACCUAGUAGUUUCCCUGCCAAAAAUCAAAUCUCAAUCUGAACAAGAUUCUAGAGCUAACCAAGAGUUCAUAUAGAAUACAAAAGUUGAGAAAAUUAUUACAUGACUUCUACAAUCCAGAAUAUGGGAAAUGCUACAGGAUGAAAUAUCUAAUUUCUUCAACAAAUAAGCUGUAAGGUUUUUAUUUUUGUUUUGUUUUAUUUUUUAAAGAGGGUGGGCACCAACAGAUUGAAAGUAUACAGGUAUGGAAGAAAUAAGAUUGGCUGUAUGUUUGAUAAUUGUUGGAGCUGAGUAGCAGGUACAUGGAAAUCAUACCAUUCUCUCUACUUUCACAUACACUUGGAAUCUAUUUAAAAAAGAAUGGGGACUUCCCUGGUGGUCCAGUGGUAAAGAAUCUGCCUUCCAAUGCAGGGAAUGGGGGUUUGAUCCCUGGUCAGAGAACUAGGAUCCCACAUGCCACGGGGCAACUAAGCCCACACGCUACAACUACUGAGUCCGCACACCACAGCUACUGAGCUCACGCGCCUCAACAAGAGAGCCCAUGAGAUGCAAACUACAGAGCCCAUGCGCUCUGGAGCCCAUGCGCCACAAUUAGAGAGAGAAAAACCCACACACCACAACUAGAGAGAAGCCUGCGCACCGCGGUGAAAGGUCCCGCAUGCUUAAAUGAAGAUCCCAUGUGCCACAAGUAAGACCCAACAUAGCCAAAUAAAUAGAUAAAUAAAUAAAUAAAUAUUUUUUAAAAAUGACUGGGGCACUAAAAAGCUCUGAGCUUGUGGUGGGGUAGUCUCUGUGAGCUUCAGUAGUUCUGGCUGGGCCGUUUCCCUAGAGAAACCCCAGAUGUCUGUAAGUUUCCCCAAGCAGGGCUUCCCUGGUGGCACAGUGGUUAAGAAUCUGCCUGUCAAUGCAGGGGACAAGGGUUCCAGCCCUGGUCAAGGAAGAUCCCACAUGCUGCAGAGCAACUAAGCCCUUGUGCCACAACUACUGAGCCUGUGCUCUAGAGCCCACGAGCCACAACUACUGAGCCCGUGCACCACAACUACUGAAGCCCGUGCUCCUAGAGCCCGUGCUCUGCAACAAGAGAAGCCACCGCAAUGAGAAGCCCGCGCACCUCAAUGAAGAGGAGCCCCCGCUCCCCACAACUAGAGAAAGCUACACGCAGCAACAAAGACCCAACGCAGCCAAAAACUAAAUUAAUUAAAAAAAAAAAAAUUUCCCCAAGCAGGCCCUCCAGACCUCCCACUUGAAGGGUGUAACCCUGGCUGCCAGUUAUCUGGAAAGUGGUAGGGCGAGAAAUCUGGGGUUUUCAACAUUUACUGUGUAAACUUUCACUUAAGCCUGCAGCAGGUUAUCCUUUCCUCCAGUGGGCUGGUGUCCCCCAGACCAGAGAUUCUCUAUUUUACCCUGUCCACUUUGCUGCCAGGGUUAGAGGCAGGCGGGGGCAUAGAUGGCUACAUUGGGUGGUGGAGAGGGUGAGGGUGUAACUGCUUCCUAUAUUGAUUCUCUAAUAAUUCCUCUUAUUUUUUUAACUGUUUAUUUUGAAACAAUUAUAGAUGUACAGGAAGUCAUAAAAAGGUAUGGUGAGGUCCCCUGUACCCUUCACUGUUUCCCUCAAUGAUUACAUCUUAUAUAAUUAUACCACACUACUUAAACUGGGAAAUUAACAUUGGUACAACGUGUGUAAAUAGUUCUGUGACAUUUUAUCACAUAGAUUCAUGUAGCCACCGCUAUAAUCAAGAUACAGAACCAUUCCACCACCACAAACAUCUCUAUUAAGCCACGAUGUUAUGGUCACAUCCACCCCCCCUAACCCUAGCAAACCACUGAUCUGUUUUCCAUUUUCUAUGAUUUUUUCAUUUUGGAAAUGUUAUAUAAAUGGAACCAUAUAGUUUGUAUUUUUUGAGAUUUUUUUUCACUCAGCAUAAUGCUUUAACAUCCAUCCAAAUUGUUGCAGGUAUCAGUAGUUCAUUCCGUAUUAUCACUGAGUAAUAGUCCAUGCUAUAGAUGUACCACAGUUUGUUUAACCAUUCACUUACUGAAGGACAUAUUGGUUCUUUCCAAUUUUUAGCUACUACAAAUAAAGCCACUAUGAACAGUCUCAUAAAGGUUUUGUGUGGAUAUAAGUUUUCAUUUCUCUAGGAUAAAUACCCAGGAGUGUGAUUGCUGGGUCAUAUGGUAAGUGUAUGUUCAUUUUUUUAAGAACAGAUUUAUUGAGAUAUAAUUCACAUACCAUAUAAUUCACCUAUUCAAAGUGUACAAUUUAGGGACAUCCCUGGUGGUCCAGUGGUUAAGAGUCCAUCUUGCAACGCAGGGGACACCAGUCAAUCUCUGGUCGGGAAACUAAGAUCUCGCAUGCCGCAACUACUGAGCCCACAUGCUCUGGAGCCGGCGCACCACAACUAAGACCCGACGCAGCCAAUAAAUAAAUAAAUAUUUAAACAUAAAUAAAUAAAGGGUACAAUUUAAUAUUUUUUUCGUAUAUUUAGAAGGUAUGAAUAAACCAUCACCACAAUCUAAUUUUAGAACAUUUUGUCCCCCCAAAAGAAACUCUAUAUCCAUGAACAGUUAAUCCUCACUCCUCCCAAUUCCAGUUGUUGUUUGUUUGUUUUUAAGAAUCUGCCAAACUAUUUUCCAGAAUGCCUGUGCCAUUUGACAUUCUCACCGACAAUACAUGACAGAUCUAAUUUCUCUGCAUCCAAGAAUUCAAGCAUUUGGUGUUGUCAAUAUGUUUCUAUUUUCUAUUUUCAAUAUGUUUCAAUAUGUUCUAAUAGAUAUAUAGGGAUAGCUCAUGGUGGCUUUAGUUUGCAUUUCCUUAAUGGCUAGUGAUGUUUCACAACUCUUCAUGUGUUUAUUUGCCUCCAGUGAAAUGUUUUUUAAUGUUUCCAUAUGUUUUUUAAAGCUUCUAGAUGGGUCCAUGAAGUCUCUGAGAAGCAGAGGCCCCUUCUACCCUACCCUUGACUCACAUUGAAUUGAGACAUGAGGGAGAAAUAAACCUUUAUUGUGUUGAUUAAGACUGCUGUUUCCUGGGCUUCCCUGGUGGCGCAGGGGUUGAGAGUCCGCCUGCCGAUGCAGGGGACGCGGGUCCGUGCCCCGGUCCGGGAAGAUCCCACGUGCCGCGGAGCGGCUGGGCCCGUGAGCCAUGGCCGCUGAGCCUGCGCGUCCGGAGCCUGUGCUCCGCAACGGGAGAGGCCACAACAGUGAGAGGCCCGCGAACCGGGGGAAAAAAAAAAAAAAAAAGACUGCUGUUUCCACUUUGACUUACCCUCCUUCACAUUUCCCCUUGUGUUAGAUGGCACUGGAAUGGCCACAGGCAUUCUUGGAAUCCAGCUAAGGGGAAGUUUACUUGGGGAUACGCUCUGUUUGGGAUCUAUUCACAUGGUUUACAGUCACUUCCAUGCAUAGUUGACCUAUUACAGCUAUUACCUGACGCCCAGAUGAAGGACUAGCUCCAGGAAUCUCUUAUCUGCCCACCGGGCUGACUCACCUGAAGUUGUGACCUGAAGGUGCAAGGCCAGAGUUCAAAUCAAGGUCUAAAUGUGUCCUUCUGCACCUGGCACCAGAAUUGUAUGGGAGUAGAAGAAAAUCAAGUUUUGAAAAUAUAUGAAGCUGAAGUCAGACAGAGAAAGGCAAAUAUCAUAUAUCGCUUAUACGUGGAAUCUACAAAAAUGGUACAAAUGAACCUAAACAAAACAGAAAUAGAGUCACAGAUGUAGAAAACAAACAAAUUUAUGGUUACCAAGAGGGAAAGGCGGGGGAGGGAUAAAUUGGGAGAUUGGGAUUAACAUAUACACACUACUAUAUAUAUAAUAGAUAACUAAUAAGAACCUACUGUAUAGCACAGGGAACUCUACUCAGUACUCUGUAAUGACCUAUAUGGGAAUAGACUCUAAAAAGAGUGGAUAUAUGUAUUUGUAUAACUGAUUCACUUUGCUGUACACCUGAAACUAACGUUGUAAAUCAACUAUACUCCAAUAAAAAUUAAUUUUAAAAAAAGAAUAUA